rnacentral:rRNA from 1 species
CACGUAGGGUGCGAGCGUUGUCCGGAAUUAUUGGGCGUAAAGCGUGCGCAGGCGGUCUGUUAAGACCGAUGUGAAAUCCCCGGGCUUAACCUGGGAACUGCAUUGGUGACUGGCAGGCUUUGAGUGUGGCAGAGGGAGGUAGAAUUCCACGUGUAGCAGUGAAAUGCGUAGAGAUGUGGAGGAAUACCGAUGCGAAGGCAGCCUCCUGGGCCAACACUGACGCUCAUGCACGAAAGCGUGGGGAGCAAACAGG